rnacentral:lncRNA from 1 species
UGGGGAGGGAAAUGUCACACACCAGGGCCUGUCAAGGGGUGAAGGGCAAGGGGAGGGAUAGCAUUAGGAAAAAUACCUAAUAUAGAUGACAGGUUAAUGGGUGCAGCAAACCACCAUGGCACAUGUACACCUGUGUAAUAAACCUGCACAUUCUUCACAUGUAUCCCAGAAUGUAAAGUAUAAUUAAAAAAAAAAAAAAAAAAAAAGAAAAAAAAUAAAAAGAAAAGAAAGAAAGAAAGGGAUGUUCAGGACAAACCAGAAAGUCCAAGCAUGUUACAAAUAGUCUGUGUAAGUCACAAUAAGAGGAUUUAUUUUAAAAAACUUUUAUAUGAUCAAGUUGUCUAUAAUUAAAGGGAAAUUAUAAUGGUCUUUCUAGAGAUUGAGUUUGAUGUUAAAAAACUACUUAUACACUAAAAAAUUGGUUAGAAUGAUGAAAUUUUCUUAAGGAGUAGAUUCACUCUUAGUAAAUUAUAAGAGACUUAAGAAGUUUUUUUAACCUAAAGCUCAGUUUUUAUUGCAUCUUGCUGCUUCUGGUUUUCUCUCCCCUCUAAAAGGGUGGGAAAUAGUAAUGCCCUCCUUCAACUUCCUUCAGCUCAUAUACGUUUUUUUCCCCUCAGAUUCUGUUUGUUGUGUCCUGAUGCUAACAAUGUUUUCUUAAAGGUCUAAAGGAAGUAUUUUCUUCCAACAUAGUAUUCUGUGCAUUGCAGAAGGUCUUUUCUUUUGCCUUUUGGUAACUGGCUUAACAGAUUUUAUGUUUUAUUGAAAUAAUUUCUAUGCCAUUAUUAUUAAGUUUCGGUUUGCUUAGAAAACACUGAAAUUACUAAUUUUUUUUUAAAAAAAUUAUGAUUAUUACAUUCAUGUAUCUUUAUGUAUGUGCUUUUAAAGUUCUUGUGACAUUGAGUUAUAAGGCUUGACUCCUGGGUCUUAAAAGGACCAGUCCUGCUAAAUCUUAAACACUGACAGCAAUUAAAGGCUCAUCUUCAGGACUGGUAGAAGAUGCCAAUCAAAAUAAACUGCAUUCUUGAAACACAGAGCCAGAAAUUAAAGCUAUUCAACUCAAGCCCAGGGACUAUAUUGGAAGAGGCUUCUGAUAACUUUGGAAACUGUGACAUCAGAAUAGAGGAAAAACUUUCAGGAUUCAUGGAGUGCUGA